rnacentral:rRNA from 1 species
GGGUUGUGAGGUUAAGCGACUAAGCGUACACGGUGGAUGCCUAGGCAGUCAGAGGCGAUGAAGGGCGUGCUAAUCUGCGAUAAGCGUCGGUAAGCUGAUAUGAAGCGUUAUACCCGACGAUACCCGAAUGGGGAAACCCAGUGUGUUUCGACACACUAUCAUUACGUGAAUACAUAGCGUAAUGAGGCGAACCGGGGGAACUGAAACAUCUCAGUACCCCGAGGAAAAGAAAUCAACCGAGAUUCCCCUAGUAGCGGCGAGCGAACGGGGAGGAGCCCAGAACCUGAAUCAGUUUGUGUGUUAGUGGAAGCGUCUGGAAAGUCGCACAGUAAAGGGUGAUAGUCCCGUACACAAAAAUGCACAAAUUGUGAGUUCGAUGAGUAGGGCGGGACACGUGACAUCCUGUCUGAAUAUGGGGGGACCAUCCUCCAAGGCUAAAUACUCCUGACUGACCGAUAGUGAACCAGUACCGUGAGGGAAAGGCGAAAAGAACCCCGGCGAGGGGAGUGAAAUAGAACCUGAAACCGUGUACGUACAAGCAGUGGGAGCCUUGAUUAAUCAGGGUGACUGCGUACCUUUUGUAUAAUGGGUCAGCGACUUAUAUUCUGUAGCAAGGUUAACCGUAUAGGGGAGCCGCAGGGAAACCGAGUCUUAACUGGGCGUUAAGUUGCAGGGUAUAGACCCGAAACCCGGUGAUCUAGCCAUGGGCAGGUUGAAGGUUGGGUAACACUAACUGGAGGACCGAACCGACUAAUGUUGAAAAAUUAGCGGAUGACUUGUGGCUGGGGGUGAAAGGCCAAUCAAACCGGGAGAUAGCUGGUUCUCCCCGAAAGCUAUUUAGGUAGCGCCUCGUGAAUUCAUCUUCGGGGGUAGAGCACUGUUUCGGCUAGGGGGUCAUCCCGACUUACCAACCCGAUGCAAACUACGAAUACCGAAGAAUGUUAUCACGGGAGACACACGGCGGGUGCUAACGUUCGUCGUGAAGAGGGAAACAACCCAGACCGCCAGCUAAGGUCCCAAAGUCAUGGUUAAGUGGGAAACGAUGUGGGAAGGCACAGACAGCCAGGAUGUUGGCUUAGAAGCAGCCAUCAUUUAAAGAAAGCGUAAUAGCUCACUGGUCGAGUCGGCCUGCGCGGAAGAUGUAACGGGGCUAAACCAUGCACCGAAGCUGCGGCAGCGACACUUAGGUGUUGUUGGGUAGGGGAGCGUUCUGUAAGCCGUCGAAGGUGACCUGUGAGGGUUGCUGGAGGUAUCAGAAGUGCGAAUGCUGACAUAAGUAACGAUAAUGCGGGUGAAAAACCCGCACGCCGGAAGACCAAGGGUUCCUGUCCAACGUUAAUCGGGGCAGGGUGAGUCGACCCCUAAGGCGAGGCUGAAAAGCGUAGUCGAUGGGAAACAGGUUAAUAUUCCUGUACUCGGUGUUACUGCGAAGGGGGGACGGAGAAAGCUAGGUUAUCCGGGCGACGGUUGUCCCGGUUUAAGCGUGAAGGUGGAUGACUUUGGUAAAUCCGGGUCGUCAUUAACACUGAGGCGUGAUGACGAGUCACUACGGUGAUGAAGUAACCAAUGCUACGCUUCCAGGAAAAGCCUCUAAGCUCCAGGUAACAUCAAAUCGUACCCCAAACCGACACAGGUGGUCAGGUAGAGAAUACUCAGGCGCUUGAGAGAACUCGGGUGAAGGAACUAGGCAAAAUGGUGCCGUAACUUCGGGAGAAGGCACGCUGAUGGUAGGUGAAGUGACUUGCUCAUGGAGCUGAAAUCAGUCGAAGAUACCAGCUGGCUGCAACUGUUUAAUAAAAACACAGCACUGUGCAAACACGAAAGUGGACGUAUACGGUGUGACGCCUGCCCGGUGCCGGAAGGUUAAUUGAUGGGGUCAGCCGCAAGGCGAAGCUCUUGAUCGAAGCCCCGGUAAACGGCGGCCGUAACUAUAACGGUCCUAAGGUAGCGAAAUUCCUUGUCGGGUAAGUUCCGACCUGCACGAAUGGCGUAAUGAUGGCCAGGCUGUCUCCACCCGAGACUCAGUGAAAUUGAACUCGCUGUGAAGAUGCAGUGUACCCGCGGCAAGACGGAAAGACCCCGUGAACCUUUACUAUAGCUUGACACUGAACCUUGAGCCUUGAUGUGUAGGAUAGGUGGGAGGCUUUGAAGCGUGGACGCCAGUCUGCGUGGAGCCAACCUUGAAAUACCACCCUUUAAUGUUUGAUGUUCUAACGUGGGCCCGUGAUCCGGGUUGCGGACAGUGUCUGGUGGGUAGUUUGACUGGGGCGGUCUCCUCCCAAAGCGUAACGGAGGAGCACGAAGGUUAGCUAAUCCUGGUCGGACAUCAGGAGGUUAGUGCAAAGGCAUAAGCUAGCUUGACUGCGAGAGUGACAGCUCGAGCAGGUGCGAAAGCAGGUCUUAGUGAUCCGGUGGUUCUGAAUGGAAGGGCCAUCGCUCAACGGAUAAAAGGUACUCCGGGGAUAACAGGCUGAUACCGCCCAAGAGUUCAUAUCGACGGCGGUGUUUGGCACCUCGAUGUCGGCUCAUCACAUCCUGGGGCUGAAGUAGGUCCCAAGGGUAUGGCUGUUCGCCAUUUAAAGUGGUACGCGAGCUGGGUUUAGAACGUCGUGAGACAGUUCGGUCCCUAUCUGCCGUGGGCGUUGGAAGAUUGAGAGGGGUUGCUCCUAGUACGAGAGGACCGGAGUGAACGCACCACUGGUGUUCGGGUUGUGAUGCCAAUUGCAUUGCCCGGUAGCUAAGUGCGGAAGAGAUAACCGCUGAAAGCAUCUAAGCGGGAAACUUGCCUCGAGAUGAGUCUUCCCUGGGCACUAGAUGCCCCUGAAGGGCCGUUGAAGACUACGACGUAGAUAGGCUGGGUGUGUAAGCGUAGCGAUACGUUGAGCUAACCAGUACUAAUGACCCGAGAGGCUUAACCUUACAACACCGAAGGUGUUU